GCAAUAUGUGAGGAGAGCUGGUGCUGCCCUGCUGCUCAAAUGGCAAGAAUGUGAACAGAGAAAGCAAUUCAGAGGGAAUGCAGAGCUGAAUUCUUGUCCAGAAAGAAGUGGCAAAGAGCAGCUGGGCUUCACCUGAAGGAUGGGCUGAGGAAGAUUUUCAUGUGACAACUGGAACAUUUUAAUCCAUGCUACUAAAAGAAAAGCUCUGGCCAUCAAGUAACUGAAGUCAGAGAUGUAAAUUAUACAGCUGAUUUCCAGAGGUGGGCAGAGACCCCACAGUGCCCAGCAAAGUCCCAGAGAGAUGAGUGGUGAGAGGAGGAAAGGAUAAACCCCCACAUGGUGGUCUCAGCAAUGUAAGAGCUUUCCACAUUAUCUGCAAUCACCAUGGAGAAAACGGGUCUGGGUGUGCAUGGUUUCUGUAUAAAGAGUGCAUCUCCAGCACAUUCUGAAG